GACGAACGCUGGCGGCGUGCUUAACACAUGCAAGUCGAACGGAAAGGCCCUGCUUUUGUGGGGUGCUCGAGUGGCGAACGGGUGAGUAACACGUGAGUAACCUGCCCUUGACUUUGGGAUAACUUCAGGAAACUGGGGCUAAUACCGGAUAGGAGCUCCUGCUGCAUGGUGGGGGUUGGAAAGUUUCGGCGGUUGGGGAUGGACUCGCGGCUUAUCAGCUUGUUGGUGGGGUAGUGGCUUACCAAGGCUUUGACGGGUAGCCGGCCUGAGAGGGUGACCGGCCACAUUGGGGCUGAGAUACGGCCCAGACUCCUAUGGGAGGCAGCAGUGGGGAAUAUUGCACAAUGGGCGGAAGCCUGAUGCAGCAACGCCGCGUGCGGGAUGACGGCCUUCGGGUUGUAAACCGCUUUCGCCUGUGACGAAGCGUGAGUGACGGUAAUGGGUAAAGAAGCACCGGCUAACUACGUG
rnacentral:rRNA from 1 species